GGAUGUGAGGGCAAUCUGGCUGCGACAUCUGUCAUCCCAUUGAUCGCCAGGGUUGAUUCCACUGAUCUGGCUGGCUAGUUGGGUGUCCCCUUCCUCCCUCACCAUUCCAUGUGCGUCCCUCUGGAAGCUGCACGCUCAGUUGAAGAGGACAACCUUCCCCGAAUAGAGACGGACCGGUCUUCAGUCUAGGGUAUAGGAGUAGCUGCGCUCCCCUGCUAGAACCUCCAAACAAGCUCUCAAGAGCAGAGAUAAAAGAAUAAAAGUCAGAGGGAGAAACUCUCCAGGUACUUGUGUUGUAUAGUCAUGAUUGCUUUGUGGAUUAGCUA
ensembl:misc_RNA 7SK 7SK RNA